GAUGAACGCUGGCGGCGUGCCUAAUACAUGCAAGUCGAGCGAACAGACGAGGAGCUUGCUCCUCUGACGUUAGCGGCGGACGGGUGAGUAACACGUGGAUAACCUACCUAUAAGAGUGGGAUAACUUCGGGAAACCGGAGCUAAUACCGGAUAAUAUAUUGAACCGCAUGGUUAAAUAGUGAAAGACGGUUUUGCUGCCCCUUAUAGAUGGACCCGCGCCGCUUUAGCAAGUUGGGAAGGAAAGGGCUUACCAGGGCAACGAUGCUUACCCGCCCUGAGAGGGGGUCCGCCCACUCUGGAACUGGGACAGGCUCCAGACCCCUCCGGGAGGCGGCAGUAGGGAACCUUCCGAAAGGGCCGAAGGCCUGCCGGGCCACCGCGGCGGGAGUGAUAAAGUUCUCGGGAUCGUAAACCUCGGUUAUUGGGGAGGACCAAAUGUGUAAGUAACUAUGCACCUCUUGACGGUACCUAAUCAGAAAGCCACGGCUAACUACGUG
rnacentral:rRNA from 1 species